AACGAACGCUGGCGGCGUGCCUAACACAUGCAAGUCGAGCGCGAAAAGGGCAACCCUGAGUAGAGCGGCGCACGGGUGCGUAACACGUGGGUAAUCUGCCUCAAAGUUUGGGAUAACCUUCCGAAAGGUUGGCUAAUACCGGAUAAGCUCACGAGGUCUUCGGACUUUGUGGGAAAAGGUGGCCUCUGUUACAAGCCAUCACUUUGAGAUGAGCCCGCGGCCCAUCAGCUAGUUGGCGGGGUAAC
rnacentral:rRNA from 1 species